rnacentral:lncRNA from 1 species
UUGAGACAGAGUCUCUCUUUGUCACCUAGGCUGGAGUGCAGAGUGAGAUUCCAUCUCAAUAAAUAAAUAAACAUUUUUUGUGGAUGUUUAAUUCUCUCAGCCAGCCUAUGAAGGAGCUACUGUCACAGGAAAGGAACAGAACAUAAUUAAAAGCUAGGUUCUAAAGUCAGACUACCUGGGUUCUAAUUCUCUCUCUGACAGUCACAAGCUAUAAGAUUUUUCAGGCUGGGUGCAGUGGCUCACAACUGUAAUCCCAGCACUUUCAGAGGCAGAGGUGGAAGGAUUGCUUGAGCUCAGGAGUUUGAGACCAACCUGGCCAACAUAGUUAGACCCCACCUUACAAAAAAGUUG